rnacentral:rRNA from 1 species
UACGGAGGGGGCGAGCGUUAUUCGGAAUUAUUGGGCGUAAAGGGCGCGUAGGCGGCUUGACAAGUCAAAGGUGAAAUCCCUCGGCUCAACUGAGGAACUGCCUUUGAAACUGUCUAGCUUGAGGCCGGGAGGGGGUAGCGGAAUUCCCAGUGUAGCGGUGAAAUGCGUAGAUACUGGGAGGAACACCAGUGGCGAAGGCGGCUACCUGGACCGGUUCUGACGCUGAUGCGCGAAAGCGUGGGUAGCAAACAGG